AUCAACAAGCAGCACACAUGCUGCAGGCUCUGGGAAACACGGACCAUUGCAACACUAAGCGAUUGAAUUUCUUACAUCUCAAUAGAAACUCAGGUUCCUUGUAUUUUGAGGCCAUACACUUCAUUGCAAUGGAGGCCAUCUAGUGGUUGCUUUUGGUUACUCAGGCCCACUGAUUUAUGUCAGUCCAAUUGAUUCAGCUUUUUGUUUAAAAUCCUAAAAGGGACUGUUUGGUGCAUCAAUCUUGAAAUGAUCUUCUUAGGAUGAUCCGAAGAAGGUUUCCAUCCACUUGAUUGACUCAUUUUGAUGUGUUUUUACUUUUAAUUUGACAAGUUGAGUUCAGUUCUAACAUCACUCCUGAAGAAGCUCUCACGAGCGAAACAU